rnacentral:rRNA from 1 species
AUUGAACGCUGGCGGCAGGCCUAACACAUGCAAGUCGAACGGUAACAGGAAGAAGCUUGCUUCUUUGCUGACGAGUGGCGGACGGGUGAGUAAUGUCUGGGAAACUGCCUGCUGGAGGGGGAUAACUACUGGAAACGGUAGCUAAUACCGCAUAACGUCGCAAGAACAAAGAGGGGGACCUUCGGGCCUCUUGCCAUCGGAUGUGCCCAGAUGGGAUUAGCUAGUAGGUGGGGUAACGGCUCACCUAGGCGACGAUCCCUAUCUGGUCUGAGAGGAUGAGCAGCCACACUGGAACUGGGACACGGUCCAGGCUCCUACGGGAGGCAGCAGUGGGGAAUAUUGCACAAUGGGCGGAAGCCUGAUGCAGCCAUGCCGCGUGUAUGAAGAAGGCCUUCGGGUUGUAAAGUACUUUCAGCGGGGAGGAAGGGAGUAAAGUUAAUACCUUUGCUGAUUGACGUUACCCGCAGAAGAAGCACCGGCUAACUCCGUG